rnacentral:sRNA from 1 species
CAGAUCUGCACUAGUAGUGGCAGUUAGUCCAGUUCAAUUGCUAAAAAAGGCCCUCAGGAUCCAAUUCCUAAACCUAUUAAAUUUCUUGUUACUUAGUGACUUUAUCACAGAGGGGCUUAGGAAUAUGUUCCAGGUUGUCAGGAAAAAAGAGCAUAAUUUUCUUUUUCUUUCAUUUUGCAGAUGGAGGAACAGAUUGCUUGGUUGGCUUACAAGACACCUAGCCUGCAAGUGGCAGAGUCACGAUUUCAAUGCAGCCCUGUCGGAGCCGGGGAUCUGACAACAGACUGGCUCACCGGCGGCAGACAGUUCUCCGUGAGAAGGGGAGAAGGUUAGCUAAUCGAGGACCAGCAUACAUGUUU